UGUGUAAGACAACCCAACACAAUAGUGCCAGUGAACACAUGUUUCAGUGUGACAGAAAACAGAUGUACACAACAGAUCCACGAUGAGCAUUGCUAGAAAUAUAUUCAGAUUGGAAAAUCUCACCCUUGCUAUUGUACGCUUGUAAGUUCAGUGUUACCUAGAACACCAGCUGUUGCUGUUGAUUUCUUGAAAUUACCAUGAUCUGGUAGCGUCAAGGACGAUCCAGUGCGAGGCAUUUGCGCUUAUUCUGCAGUCCUAUACAUUACAUUAGAGGAAGGAUACCUUAAACACUGCAACAUGAUUUGUCCACUGAGCCAAAAGGUUAGAGCUGGUCCUACAGUCUCAGCUCACCCAUGCUAACAUUAAAACGCUGUAUAUGUCAAAUCAAUAUUCAUAGUCAGAACAAGAAAGGUAUUGAUAUGUCUGAACUGAUGGCGGCUGACUCCCUUGUGAUCUGUGGUCGGUACGAGAUGCAAAGAAACGUGAAUUCUGAUCAUAAUUCCUACAGUCAGAUUUUCAGGCUUACGAGCAAGCCAGACCGAUCAGUUAUUUCCAUUGCAUUUGCGCCAGUAUUCAGCAGUAAAGGCUAUUACCGAUAUAAACAUCAAUUCAGACAAUCUUUCAGACUUUAUAUAAACGCAUUUAUAUUGUAUAAGGUUGUCUUGGUGUGUCCUGUUGCAUGUAGAGUUGUAAUCAGACGUGUCCUCAGCUCAACGUGCGCGUCUUGGGUGUCAAAAGGUUAGUCAGCACACAGGGAGGUUGUCCUUUAGCGGAGGAUCUCCGUGAUGUGUCCAAUAACUUGUAGAUAAAUCACCGCGGGGAUGUCUGCCUGGCACAUGAUAUUAGAUCAAAAGUCUUGAGCCAUUCAAUCAAUCAUUCCCCCUUGGCCUGAGUUGAAAUCCUGUUCCUUCAUCAUCCAGUCCACACACGGCGUCGAGCACACACGAUAGAUCAAAAGUUUCUACUCAUUCACGUGUGAUUAACAAGUCCCUCGCUGCUUAUCAGACGAUCCAAACGUCCAUGACAGUUGCCUGUGUUCGGAGUCACUGAAGCAGACGACAAACAUGAACGACAUUGUGUAUCUUCGUCAUCCAAUCUGGGGGGCUGACAUGGGAUCUGACGGCUGUACCAUAGGUUCUGAUUGCCCUCAACAAGGUUCGCUUAACACAUUGACAAGCCAAGAAACACUGUCCGUCAUGGGUAGUUGCGCCAAAUGCCUUGUGCGCACCCUGUGGUGGGUAGGGAUUAUCAUAUCCGGUUCCGUCGUAAAGUACCAGAUACGAUCUGCCAGAAAAUCGCCGACAGAUCGCAGGGCUACCGUUUUCCAGUUGCGUUACAACUUUUCUUCUUUUCUUUCAAGGGUCAGCUCACCGUUAACCUUCUACCAUUUGAGCCAACAAACUUGCCUAUCUGUGGGUAUUGUGAAAAGGUGGAGUCUGGAGUAGGCAAACCGGUUAUUGAAAGUUAGUUUUCUGACACGUAUGCUAUGUACCUGUCGGCGUUAUCUGCUCCUGGGUGAUCAGAGAUCAGACAACAAGGUGGGAGAUUUGUCCACGACUUUGAAGUACAGCCGGGCGCUGUUUUUGUGACACAGUGUUGUUUCCACCCUGACCCCUAGCGCUGAUAAAUGAGGUUUGUAUGGGCAAACUUUGACAAAUGACAA